rnacentral:snoRNA from 1 species
AAUCCGUGAUGUGGAUAGCAUCUCAAAAGAUCCUUAAACCUCUCCCGUACAUGCUCUCAUCAUCAAACUGCACAAAAUAAGAUAUGUCAUUUCUAAGCUU